rnacentral:rRNA from 2 species
UUUAGUCAGGCAACGAGCGAGACCCACGCCCACAGUUGCCAGCGUACUCUCUGGAGUGACGGGUACACUGUGGGGACCGCCGCUGCUAAAGCGGAGGAAGGAAUGGGCAACGGUAGGUCAGUAUGCCCCGAAUGUCCCGGGCUACACGCGGGCUACAAUGGUUGGUACAAUGGGUAUCUACCCCGAAAGGGGAUGGAAAUCUCCUAAAGCCAAUCUUAGUUCGGAUCGAGGGCUGCAACUCGCCCUCGUGAAGCUGGAAUCCGUAGUAAUCGCGUUUCAAUAGAACGCGGUGAAUACGUCCCUGCUCCUUGCACA